rnacentral:rRNA from 1 species
CCUACGGGAGGCAGCAGUGAGGAAUAUUGGUCAAUGGCCGGAAGGCUGAACCAGCCAUGCCGCGUGAAGGUCAGUGCCCUAUGGGCGUUAAACUUCUUUUGUGCGGGAGCAAGAAUGGUCACGUGUGGCCAGACGAGAGUACCGUACGAAUAAGCAGCGGCGAACUCCGGGCCAGCAGCCGCGGUAAUACGGGGGAUGCAAGCGUUAUCCGGAUGUAUUGGGUUUAAAGGGUGCGUAGGCUGUGAGGUAAGUCAGCGGUGAAAUGCCCCCGCUCAACGGGGUGACGUGCCAUUGAUACUGCCUUGCUGGACUGCGGAUGCCGUGGGAGGAAUGUGUGGUGUCGCGGU